UGGAGGCUUCAAGUCCAAGAUCAAAGUGCCAGCAGGUUUUGUGUCUUCUGAGACCUCUCUCCUUGGCUUGCAGAUGACUCCCUUAACUCUGUGUCCUCAUAUGGUCUUUUUCUAAUUCACCAUUGUAAUCCUUUCUUAUACACUGCAGCUUCCCCAGCCAGCAAUGGGCAGUUAGUCCCUUCUCUGUGUAAAUAUGUAGGUGUUCUUCUCUCUAGGGACUUAAGCAUGGUUCUUUCAAGGCCCUUGCAGGAAGGCCUCCAAACUGCAUAGUUGCCACUACAGACCUCUGGCUUCUCCUCUUCUACCCCAUUUCCCUGUCCCUGCCUCUCAGCCGUCACCCUGUAGUCUCUUGUUUCUUGAUUCUACUUGUCUAAUACUAAGGCAGUUCAGGCACAGCUACCUUGAAUAUAUACCCACCUGAUCCAAUGGGACUGACACAGCUUUGCUAUGACAAAAGGUGGGACUAUAAGCCUUCCUCUUGUCAUUCCCAUUUUGUCCUGCCACAUCUCACCAACUCCCAUCUCCUCUAGCUCAAAUAGGCACAGGAGGGCUUAUGAGCAAGUCUGAAUCAAAAGCUACUUUAUUUUAUUUUAUUUUUUUGUGGGAGACCGGAGUUUUAUUAUUAUUCACAACAGUCUCUCGAGCAUUCAGGAAGCAGAGUUUUUAAGGAUAAUUUGGUCGAUGAAGGGAAGCCAGUGAGCCACGAGUGCUGAUUGGGCAGAGAUGAAAUCAUAGGGAAUUGAGGCUGUCUUCUUGCGCUGAGUCAGUUCCUGGGUGGGGGCCACAAGAUCAGAUGAGCCAGUUUAUUGAUCUGGGUGGUGCCAGCUGAUCCAUCAAGUGCAGGGGAUGCAAAGUAUCUCAAGCACUGAUCUUAGGAGCAGUUUAGGGAGGGUCAGAAUCUUGCAGCCUCCAGCUGCAUGACUGCUAAACCAUCAUUUCUAAUUUUGUGGCUAAUAUUAGUCCUACAAAGGCAGUCUAGUCUCCAGGCAAGAAGGAGGUCUGCUUUGGGAAAGGGCUGUUACCAUCCAAAAGCUAUUUUAUAAUGACAUGUCUGUCUGCCCUUCCUGUUGGCUCUACAUCUCUGUGAGUAUCUCGGUGCC
rnacentral:lncRNA from 10 species